rnacentral:tRNA from 1 species
GCCUGAGUGGCUCAGUCGGUUGAGCGUCCGACUUCAGCUCAGGUCACGAUCUCACAGUUUGUGGGUUCGAGCCCCGCGUCGGGCU